rnacentral:rRNA from 1 species
UGAAGUGUAUCCAUCCAGGUCGGGAGAUUUAUCAUCUCCAAUCCUAAAAAGAGCUGUGAAACUGCGAAUUGCUCAUUAAAUUAGUUAUAGUUUAUUUGAUGGUACCUGCUACUCGGAUAAUCAUAGUAAUUCUAGAGCUAAUACGUGCAACAAAUCCCUACUUCUGGAAGGGACCCAUUUAUUAGAUAAAAGGUCGAUGCAGACAUCUCCUAUUGCUGUGAUGAUUCAUGAUAAUUUGAUGGAUCGCACGGCCCUCAUGUCGGUGAUGCAUCAUUCAAAUUUCUUCCCUAUCAACUUUCGAUGGUAGGAUAGUGGCCUACUAUGGUGGUGAUGGGUGACGGAGAAUUAGGGUUCGAUUCUGGAAAGGGAGACUGAGAAAUGGCUACCACAUCCAAGGAAAGCAACAGGCGCACAAAUUACCCAAUCAUGAUAUAGGGAGGUAGUGACA